AUCGCUAUAGCAUUCCUUACACUCAUCGAAUGAAAAAUCUUAGGCUACAUACAACUACGCAAAGGACCUAACAUUGUAGGUCCCUACGGGCUGCUUCAACCAUUCGCUAACGCAAUAAAACUUUUCACCAAAGAACCCUUACAGCCCUCAACAUCUACUAUUACCCUUUAUAUUAUUGCUCCAAUCCUAGCCCUUCCUAUCGAUCUCCUCUUAUGAACUCCCCUCCCUAUACCAAAUCCUCUAAUUAAUUUUAACAUAGGCCUCCUAUUUAUACUAGCCAUAUCAAUCCUAGCCAUUUAUUCUAUGAUCAGGAUGAGCAUCUAAUUCAAAAUAUGCACUAAUUGGCGCAUCACGAGCUGUGGCCCAGACAAUUUCAAAUGAGGUCACCCUAGCCAUUAUCCUGUUAUCAGUUUUACUGAUAAGUGGUUCAUUUAACUUAUAUGCAUUCAUCACAAUGCAAGAACUCCUCUGACUGCUCCUACCAUCAUUACCCCUAGCCAUAAUGUGAUUAUCCCCACACCAGCAGAAACUAACCGAGCCCAUUUUGAUCUAACAGAAGGAGAGUCAGAAUUGUCUCAGGCUUCAACAUCAAAUAUGCCACAAGCUCAUUUGUCCUCUUCUUUAUAGCAGAGUACAUGAAUAUUAUCAUAAUAAAUGCCCUAACUACCACUAUCUUCCUAGGAGCACUACAUACCAUAUAUUCACCAGAACUCUAUACCAUAAAUUUCAUUACCAAGACCCUUCUUUUAACCACCCUAUUCUUAUGAAUUCUAAGAGCAUACCCUUGAUUCUGCUACAACCAGCUCAUAUAUCUUCUAUGAAAAAAUUUCCUACAACUUACACUAGCAUGCUGUAUAUGACAUAUCUCAAUGCCUGUCCUAAUUUCUAGCAUCCCACCCCA
rnacentral:lncRNA from 1 species